UACGGAGGGAGCUAGCGUUGUUCGGAAUUACUGGGCGUAAAGCGCACGUAGGCGGCUUUGUAAAUUAGAGGUGAAAGCCCGGGGCUCAACCCCGGAAUUGCCUUUAAGACUGCAUCGCUUGAAUCCAGGAGAGGUGAGUGGAAUUCCGAGUGUAGAGGUGAAAUUCGUAGAUAUUCGGAAGAACACCAGUGGCGAAGGCGGCUCACUGGACUGGUAUUGACGCUGAGGUGCGAAAGCGUGGGGAGCAAACAGG
rnacentral:rRNA from 1 species